UGCACAGCAGGAGAGACACAAGUCCC
rnacentral:piRNA from 1 species